rnacentral:lncRNA from 1 species
GUGCCUGCUCGGCGAGCCCCCUGCCUCGGAACCCACCCCUCAGCCCGAGAGGCAGUCUGUGAAGCUGUCCUGUGUGACUGGGAGCAGUUUUCUGAGGCCCACCUUUUGUUCCUGCUGGGCCUCAGGCUGCUGGUGAGAUGGGGUGGGUUCAUUAGGCCAGUUCACUGGGGCAGAAAUGGAGGGCUGAGCACGUUUUGGGACUGGCUGGCGGCAGGACCGGAGCCCCUCUGCCAACACUUUGGCCUGUCCUUUCUCUGCACUGCUGUGGCCAGGGGCCAUUCUGUGGUAGCAUAAAGAGGAAGGGUUAGCAGGGAAGCCCCCGGCUGCUCCCGGUGCGCCACAGGGUUGGUGUGGGGUCUGCACACGGAGGAGCUGCUGGGGGGUCAGUGAGUCGGCCCAGUGCCACAGGACUAAGGUCUGGAAGGAGAUGAGCAAGCCGGGCGCCGGGGUGCACUCUGUGAUCCAGCAGCUCAGGAGGCGGAGGCAGGACGAUUGCGAGGUCAAAGCCAGCCUCAGCAAUGGCAAGGCACUAAGCAGCUCAGUGAGACCCUGUCUCUAAAUAAAAUGCAAAAUAGGGCUGGGGGUGUGGCUCAGUGGUCGAGUGCCUCCGAGUUCAAUCCCUGGCAUCUCCCCCACCUCCCAAAAAUAAGCAAGAUGGGCUCUGCGUGGAGGUCUUUGUCAGCCUCUCUAAGACCUUGGAGUUAUAAAGAAAUAAAAUAAAAGUCUAUCAACAACAACAACAAAAGACCCUGGAGUGGCCAAAGUUGUUCCCUGGAGACACCUUUCCAAAAGGUAACGUGUCUCCAGGGCCCAUCCUGGGCAACUAGAGGAGCCCUGGAGUGCUGUGAGGGUCCCACCAAACGUGACAGAAGAAAGGCUGCUUCCUGGGCUUGCCCACUCGGCCCAGGACAGAGCCAGUGGGUCAGGGCAGCCGCUGGAACAGAAUCUGUGGGCGCGCUUGUGUGUGUGUGUGCGCGUGUGUACGCACAUGUGUGCUCCUGCACGCGGGUGCAGGGCGUGGGCUGCGAGCCCUCUGGCUUCCCUGCCUUCCCGUCUUGGGCUGAGCCGGAGCGUCCCCUCCUGCUGGGGAUUGGAGGGGUCUAGAGUCCACUCCAGCAUCCCCUGGGGCCCCGGGUCCAACCCCCACCCAGGAAGACCCUCCUCUGCACUUGCUGUCCCUUCUGCUGCAGAGGCAGCCUCCCCUAGCCUGGUUCCAGGACCUUCCUGGCGCCAGCCGGGGCUUCAGAGGUGUCUGCAGGGAGCGGGUGGAAGGUCGGUCAGGGCGUUGGAGACCUGGGCUGCCUGGUGCUUUCUUGGUCCCUGCUGUUGGUCGUCCAAGACGGGGUUCUUCUCCAGGGACGAGAAGUGCCCUGGGGGUGGUUGGAAACCUGGGUUCCGGGCCCAGCUCUGCCGGUGACUCCCUGAGCAGCCUUGGCAUGUUGCUUUGGCCUCUGGUCCUGGUUUCCCCUCUGUCACCUGGGGUCGUUAGCCCUGCUCUUUCACCGUGAAGAGCGGUGGUGAGGACCAGCCCUGACGCUGUGUGAAGUGGGAGUGGGUAAGGGCGUGUGGGCAGGGUGCCCAACCUCAGGCUCACUGGGGGGUCAUGCAUGGGGAGUGGGCAUCAUGUGUUGGGUGGAGCCCUGUGCCUGGCCGGGGGUGCUCUGGGGACAGCAGGCGGAGAGGCCUGGCACCAGAUCGGUGACUUCACUGUCCGUAAGAAAUAGAAUAUGGUGUCUUUGGAAAACCAUGCCCACAUGCGCUGAGGCCACGUUCUCCCCCCAGGGCCCAGGUACAGAAAGCUCCUGUGCUUCAGGCCCCGGUGCCAGGCGGUGCCAGAGGAAGCCCCCAGAGACAGGGCUGAUGGAGUGGGGGGGCUCGCCCGACGAGGAGAGGCUGGCCUUGUCCUGGGGGAAGGGUGGGGACCUGCCCUGUAGCCCUGGCCAUUUCUGAGGGCUGGGAGCAGAGGCCACCAGCUCAUGUGUCCUCCCACUCAGGAGGUGAAGUGGGGGACGGGGGAGCUCCGGGGUGGGGAAGGGAGAGUCUGGCUGUCGACACGGACCUGGGCCUGGCCUCGCUGGCUGGCCUUCCUGCUUCCUCGAGCCUGAGCUUGGCCCGCCUCUGGCCAGGCCAGCGUGGGCAGGAGGCUGUGGCUCCUGCGUGGGCUCUGCUGCCGGCUCUCCAGGUGGCCAUGGCAGGGCUGCACCCCCUGACCUCCGCCUGUUCUGGAAAGCAGAGGGGUGGUGUGGGCCGUGCUGAGCACCCUGCGAGGCUGGGAUUCUCGGAGACACGAGACCCAGCCCUAGUUGGCCAUCGACUGAGCAUUUAGCACAUACCUUCCAAGUGUCAGUACUGCUGGGUGCUGGAAUGCCACACAGACAGAAGACAGUCUCUCCCUUGGGGAGUCUGUGCUCCAAGGAGGGAGACUUGUGGCAUGGUGGACAGCGGGAGCUGAAGCAG